rnacentral:rRNA from 1 species
ACGGGGGCUCACACAAGCGGUGGAGCAUGUGGCUUAAUUCGAGGCAACGCGAAGAACCUUAUCCUGGGUUUUGACAUGUACGGAUUAACCCUGUGAAAGCAGGGCCACGCUCGCAAGAGUGGAACGUGCACAGGUGCUGCAUGGCUGUCGUCAGCUCGUGUCGUGAGAUGUCGCGUUAAGUCGCUAAACGAGCGAAACCCCUAUCUUUAGUUGCCAGCGCGUCAUGGCGGGGACUCUAAAGAGACUGCCGGUGUCAAACCGGAGGAAGGCGGGGAUGACGUCAAGUCCUCAUGGCCUUUAUGCCCAGGGCUGCACACGUGCUACAAUGGGGCGUACAAAGCGCCGCGAAGUUGCGAAACCAAGCUAAUCGCAAAAAGCGUCCCCCAGUUCGGAUUGAAGGCUGCAAUUCGCCUUCAUGAAGCCGGAAUCGCUAGUAAUCGCCGAUCAGCAUUGCGGCGGUGAAUGUGUUCCUGAGCCUU